CCUACGGGAGGCAGCAGUAGGGAAUCUUCCGCAAUGGACGAAAGUCUGACGGAGCAACGCCGCGUGAACGAAGAAGGCCUUCGGGUCGUAAAGUUCUGUUGUUAGGGAAGAACAAGUACCAGAGUAACUGCUGGUACCUUGACGGUACCUAACCAGAAAGCCACGGCUAACUACGUGCCAGCAGCCGCGGUAAUACGUAGGUGGCAAGCGUUGUCCGGAAUUAUUGGGCGUAAAGCGCGCGCAGGUGGUUCCUUAAGUCUGAUGUGAAAGCCCACGGCUCAACCGUGGAGGGUCAUUGGAAACUGGGGAACUUGAGUGCAGAAGAGGAAAGUGGAAUUCCAAGUGUAGCGGUGAAAUGCGUAGAGAUUUGGAGGAACACCAGUGGCGAAGGCGACUUUCUGGUCUGUAACUGACACUGAGGCGCGAAAGCGUGGGGAGCAAACAGGAUUAGAUACCCUGGUAGUCCACGCCGUAAACGAUGAGUGCUAAGUGUUAGAGGGUUUCCGCCCUUUAGUGCUGCNGCUACGACAUAAGCACUCCGCCGUGGGAGGUACGGCCGGCGAGGCGUGUAACGUACGAAAGUUAAAGUUAGUACGGCGUUGAGACGUUGCCGACGGACGACGACGAGGGGAGGUUAGG
rnacentral:rRNA from 1 species